GCCGGCAUAGCUCAGUUGGUAGAGCAGCUGAUUUGUAAUCAGCAGGUCCCGGGUUCGAUUCCUGGUGCCGGCA
rfam:Beta vulgaris subsp. vulgaris contig167454.1, whole genome shotgun sequence.